rnacentral:rRNA from 1 species
UACCAGCACCCCGAGUGGUCGGGACGAUUAUUGGGCCUAAAGCAUCCGUAGCCGGCCUUACAAGUCCUCCGUUAAAUCCAGCUGCUUAACAGAUGGGCUGCGGAGGAUACUAUAAGACUAGGAGGCAGGAGAGGCAAGCGGUACUCAGUGGGUAGGGGUAAAAUCCGUUGAUCCAUUGAGGACCACCAGUGGCGAAGGCGGCUUGCCAGAAUGCGCUCGACGGUGAGGGAUGAAAGCUGGGGGAGCAAACCGG